AACGAACGCUGGCGGCAGGCUUAACACAUGCAAGUCGAACGCGCCCUUCGGGGUGAGUGGCAGACGGGUGAGUAACGCGUGGGAACAUGCCUUUCGGACUGGAAUAACUGGGGGAAACUUCAGCUAAGACCGGAUACGCCCUUAGGGGGAAUGAUUUAUCGCCGAAAGAUUGGCCCGCGUCCGAUUAGCUAGUUGGUGUUGGUAAUGGCUCACCAAGGCGACGAUCGGUAGCUGGUCUGAGGGGAUGGCCAGCCACAUUGGGACUGAGACACGGCCCAAACUCCUACGGGAGGCAGAAGUGGGGAAUAUUGGACAAUGGGCGCAAGCCUGAUCCAGCCAUGCCGCGUGAGUGAUGACGGCCUUAGGGUUGUAAAGCUCUUUCGCACGUGACGAUAAUGACGGUAACGUGAGAAGAAGCCCCGGCUAACUUCGUGCCAGCAGCCGCGGUAA
rnacentral:rRNA from 1 species